AGACGUGGCCGACGUGAGUCAAAGUGUGGUAUGUGUUCUCAGCUGCUUAAUAUCUCAUACGGCUAGUAAUUGGACCCUAGACAUUAUAGUUAUUUUCGCAAGUUGGCGGCGUGCUUGAAGCCUGCUUCAUUUCCGCCGCGGGUCGGAGCGGUAUUGCACUAUCUUCGCGAUCGGCCCACGGGCU